rnacentral:lncRNA from 1 species
AUUAAGUUUUUUUUAUGUCGUCCUUUACUUCUUGGCUUUGUGGAAGCGUUGACAAUGUGUACUAUACGCUGUCAUCAUUGCAGAAAUUAAAACACUAUGUUUUUCCGUUGGUGCCCCCCCCUUUUUUUUUGUGGGGAAAAUUUGGUUGAUUAUAUAGGUAAUCACUGAAGCAUGACUGGAGCGCACCCUUUUAAGUUCAGUCAGUGCCCCCCUUAAAUGAAAAGUUCUGGAUCCGCCACUGCUGCUGUCGUAAAUGAUGGUAGCGAGGAUUAACUGUCGCUAAUGCUUUACCAACUCUAGCCUCAGACUCGUUGAUUCCUUUGCUUGAUAAAUGGCCUGUCAUCAUUUUCCGACCGCG